AGAGUUUGAUCCUGGCUCAGGAUGAACGCUGGCGGCGUGCUUAACACAUGCAAGUCGAACGAUCCUUCGGGAUAGUGGCGGACGGGUGAGUAACGCGUGGGAAUCUGCCCUCAGGAGGGGGAUAACGGCUGGAAACGGCCGCUAAUACCCCAUAUGCCGAGAGGUGAAAUGAAUUUCGCCUGAGGAUGAGCCCGCGUCUGAUUAGCUAGUUGGUGGGGUAAUGGCCUACCAAGGCAACGAUCAGUAGCUGGUCUGAGAGGAUGAUCAGCCACACUGGGACUGAGACACGGCCCAGACUCCUACGGGAGGCAGCAUUGGGGAAUUUUCCGCAAUGGGCGAAAGCCUGACGGAGCAACGCCGCGUGAGGGAUGAAGGCCUCUGGGCUGUAAACCUCUUUUCUCAAGGAAGAAGACCUGACGGUACUUGAGGAAUAAGCCACGGCUAAUUCCGUGCCAGCAGCCGCGGUAAUACGGGAGUGGCAAGCGUUAUCCGGAAUUAUUGGGCGUAAAGCGUCCGCAGGCGGCCUUGUAAGUCUGUUGUUAAAGCGUGGAGCUCAACUCCAUUUAAGCAAUGGAAACUACAAGGCUGGAGUGUGGUAGGGGCAGAGGGAAUUCCCGGUGUAGCGGUGAAAUGCGUAGAUAUCGGGAAGAACACCAGUGGCGAAGGCGCUCUGCUGGGCCAUAACUGACGCUCAUGGACGAAAGCCAGGGGAGCGAAAGGGAUUAGAUACCCCUGUAGUCCUGGCCGUAAACGAUGAACACUAGGUGUCGGGGGAAUCGACCCCCUCGGUGUCGUAGCCAACGCGUUAAGUGUUCCGCCUGGGGAGUACGCACGCAAGUGUGAAACUCAAAGGAAUUGACGGGGGCCCGCACAAGCGGUGGAGUAUGUGGUUUAAUUCGAUGCAACGCGAAGAACCUUACCAGGGUUUGACAUCCUGCGAACCCCUGAGAAAUCGGGGGGUGCCUUCGGGAGCGCAGAGACAGGUGGUGCAUGGCUGUCGUCAGCUCGUGUCGUGAGAUGUUGGGUUAAGUCCCGCAACGAGCGCAACCCACGUCUUUAGUUGCCAGCAUUCAGUUGGGCACUCUAGAGAGACCGCCGGUGAUAAACCGGAGGAAGGUGUGGAUGACGUCAAGUCAUCACGCCCCUUACAUCCUGGGCUACACACGUACUACAAUGCUACGGACAAAGGGCAGCAAGCUCGCGAGAGUUAGCAAAUCCCAUAAACCGUGGCUCAGUUCAGAUCGUAGGCUGCAACUCGCCUACGUGAAGGAGGAAUCGCUAGUAAUCGCAGGUCAGCAUACUGCGGUGAAUACGUUCCCGGGCC
rnacentral:rRNA from 1 species